GAUGGGACUUAAUUGUCUAAAGUGCUACUUUUAUUACUUCUUCUUGUUUGACUUUGAUGACUUUGAUUUGUGGGAUUGCCUGUGAAGACAGCAAUGAGAGAGGAUGUAUCCGCAUGUCAAUGGAAAUUAAAUACGCCAAGUUUUGGCUAAAAGACAACUUAUUCUCCGUCAAUUCUUCCUACGAAUGCAACGUUGAGCUGCAACCACCUCAACAGCACCCAUGAGCAUUGUAUGCCUCUACCACAGAUGAGUUAUUGUCCGAUGUGAGCACGACUGUUAACCAAAGGGAAUCGGUCAAGAAUUACCUGGCGGCAUCCAACACUGCCAGAACCAGAAUGGUAACGAAAAUCACUACGGAGCUGCGCAACCUGGAGAUGAAUGUUAGUCGGAAUGCAGCAAGGAAUGAAAACCACGACGAGGAUUAAAUCGACAAAUGGGGGGUGGCGGACACAGCCUGCCAUCGGUCCUCAGCUAUUCCCUAUCUUCUGGAUCGAAUCAAUUGAAUGAACUAACCUCUAAAUUAUGAACUAAUCUACUGGAUUUAAUCAACAUAACGAGCACACCGCCGCGAUCGACAAGGACUAUUGGGAAAAUGAACAAUCAAGGGGAGGGAAAAAAAAGAAAAAAAAAUUGUAAUCACUACACAAUCUGGAAUGUCAAAAAUUGUUAUUCGAAAAUUUUUGCGUUCUUUGGUAUACUGGGGGCGGGAUUCAAUAAACUUCGACUUUUCCCGUCUGCCCUUUUCAUUUUGGGUUGAAUUAAAUGUAAACACAUAUGAAUGCUGUAUGUUUGUUUGGAUUUGUCAUGCCUGAAGGGAAAAUAAAUAAAGAAAGAAGAAGGUUUCUGUAUAGCAUCUUCAACAAUCAAUA